rnacentral:rRNA from 1 species
GACGAACGCUGGCGGCGUGCUUAACACAUGCAAGUCGAACGGAAAGGCCCUGCUUUUGUGGGGUGCUCGAGUGGCGAACGGGUGAGUAACACGUGAGUAACCUGCCCUUGACUUUGGGAUAACUUCAGGAAACUGGGGCUAAUACCGGAUAGGAGCUCCUGCUGCAUGGUGGGGGUUGGAAAGUUUCGGCGGUUGGGGAUGGACUCGCGGCUUAUCAGCUUGUUGGUGGGGUAGUGGCUUACCAAGGCUUUGACGGGUAGCCGGCCUGAGAGGGUGACCGGCCACAUUGGGACUGAGCUACGGCACAGACUACUACGGGAGGCAGCAGUGGGGAAUAUUGCACAAUGGGCGGAAGCCUGAUGCAGCAAAGCCGCGUGCGGGAUGACGGCAUUCGGGUUGUAAACCGCUUUCGCCUGUGACGAAGCGUGAGUGACGGUAAUGGGUAAAGAAGCACCGGCUAACUACGUG